ACGGGGACCCGCGACAAGCAGCGGAGCGUGUCGGUUAAUUCGUUGCUACACGAAGAACCUUACUGGGUUGACAUAUAGGUUGUAGGGAACGUGAAAAGGGACCGACCCUUCGGGAGCCUAUACAGGUGUUGCAUGGCUGUCGUCAGCUCGUGUCGUGAGAUGCUCGGUUAAGUCCGCUAACGAGCGCAACCCUCGUCGUAUGUUAUAUGUGUCAUACGAGACUGCCGGUAAAAAGCCGGAGGAAGGUGAGGAUGAUGUCAAGUCAGCAUGACCUUUAUAUCCAGGGCUACACACACGCUACAAUGGUCUGUACAAUGGGUAGCCAAGCCGCGAGGCGGAGCCAAUCCUGAAAGCAGGCCUCAGUUCAGAUUGCAGUCUGCAACUCGACUGCAUGAAGCCGGAGUUGCUAGUAACCGCAGGUCAGCAAUACUCGCGGUCCGAAUACGUUCCGGCCUU
rnacentral:rRNA from 1 species